rnacentral:rRNA from 1 species
UACGUAGGGGGCAAGCGUUGUCCGGAUUUAUUGGGCGUAAAGAGCGUGUAGGCGGCCAAGCAGGUCCGCUGUGAAAACUCGAGGCUCAACCUCGAGACGUCGGUGGAAACCGUUUGGCUAGAGUCCGGAAGAGGAGAGUGGAAUUCCCGGUGUAGCGGUGAAAUGCGCAGAUAUCGGGAAGAACACCCGUGGCGAAGGCGGCUCUCUGGGCAUUACCUGACGCUGAGGAGCGAAAGUGUGGGGAGCGAACAGG